rnacentral:rRNA from 1 species
AGAGAUGUGUGAUGACGCAUAUCAAUAAGCGGAGGAAAAGAAACUAACAAGGAUUCCCUUAGUAACGGCGAGUGAAGCGGGAAGAGCUCAAAUUUGAAAUCUUCAAGGUUCUACCUUGACGAAUUGUAGUUUAUAAGAAGUGUUUCUGUUAGUAGAGUGGCAAAAGUUCUUUGGAAUAGGACAUCAUAGAGGGUGAGAAUCCCGUAUUUGGUCAUUCCUUCUAGCUUUGUGAUACACUUUCAACGAGUCGGAUUGUUUGGGAAUGCAGUCCAAAAUGGGUGGUAAAUUUCAUCUAAAGCUAAAUAUUGGCGAGAGACCGAUAGGCGAACAAGUACCGUGAGGGAAAGAUGAAAAGAACUUUGAAAAGAGAGUUAAACAGUACGUGAAAUUGUCAAAAGGGAAGCGUUUGACACCAGUGUUGUUUUUCCGAAAAUCAAUUACGAAUGUUUUGUUUUUAAGAAGUUAUGACUUCAUCGGCUUGCUUCUUUCUUUACGAAACUUUCUUAAUGCACUUUUCGGUUAACAAGUCAACAUCAAUUUCUUUUGUUGUAAAAGGGUACGAGGAAGGUGGCUUUCUUUUCGGAGAAAGUGUUUAUAGCCUUGUACCUCUGCAAUCGGAGAGAUUGAGGUACAUGCAGCGUAGACUCCUUCGGGGUUAGAUACAGUUUGUGCUAAGUUAUAGCUUUUCAUAGACAACUUGUUGACUAUGUUAGUCUUGUAGCUUACUCGCUUAUGCUAUUUUACCUACGCUUAGGAUGUUGACGAUCAGCUGAGCGCG